CGCGAAGAACCUUACCGGGCCUUGUACACACCGAGCCUUGUACACACCGGGGUCUUGUACACCGAAAACUCGCAGAGAUGUGGGGUCCGCAAGGGCGGUGUACAGGUGGUGCAUGGUUGUCGUCAGCUCGUGUCGUGAGAUGUUGGGUUAAGUCCCGCAACGAGCGCAACCCUUUUCCUUAUUUGCCAGCGGGUUAAGCCGGGAACUUUAAGGAUACUGCCAGUGACAAACUGGAGGAAGGCGGGGACGACGUCAAGUCAUCAUGGCCCUUACGACCAGGGCUACACACGUGCUACAAUGGUCGGUACAAAGGGUUGCUACCUAGCGAUAGGAUGCUAAUCUCAAAAAGCCGAUCGUAGUCCGGAUUGGAGUCUGCAACUCGACUCCAUGAAGUCGGAAUCGCUAGUAAUCGCGGAUCAGAAAUCCGUGCGCUCUACGGGUCUUGUACACACCG
rnacentral:rRNA from 1 species